AUCAGGACAAUCAAACCUCCUUGUUUUAAGCCAGUUGUGGGUCAUACCAUUGUUUUAUGGAUGUUAUAUCAAAACCCUAGUCUUGUGGUCCCAUUUCAUGGUUUUGUCCAUAUACACUAUCAGUCAAGUAUUAUCUUUGCAAAAGUCAAACAUCCAAGCCAAUUGUGAAAUCAAUUUCAAUCAUUUUUCAAAAACCAUUCAGAUCCAUUCUAUCCAUUUUAAACCAUUACAUGUGAUUCCAUACAAGAAAAUACAAAGUUUGGCAUUUUUGACCAACUGUUGACUUUGGUCAACAGUUGACUUUUUGGUCAACUUUGACGAAAGUCAACCAUAAUCCAUUAAACCCUAAUUUCACCCAUAAUUGUCCAUAGAAUAUCCAUUUACAAAGAAAUCAUAAAGAAAAUACAAAAAUUGACAUUUUUGACCCAUUGUUGACUUUGGUCAAUAGUUGACUUUUUUGGUCAACUUUGACCAAAGUCAACUCACCCUCUAUUUUACCACCUAAGACAUAACCUAGUCUUCCUUCAUUGAUCCAUCAUCCAAAAGUCAUGCUUGGGGUGUGUUGCUUUGUAUCUUCAUUUCCAAGCAAUUCAAUUCCUUUUACAAACUCUUGUGCACCUUGCCAUUUGGACUUUGUUGCAUUUCCAACCAUAGCUUCACAUUGCUAAACAUGGUCCUAUAUUCACCACAAACAGGUACCACAAUCACAUAAUCAUAUACCAUGCUUACAUUGGUUAAUUGGACAAGACAAUUCAAUUGGAUUUGGCCUUGAACUCAUCUUGGCAAACAUCCUGCCAUCAUAGUCCUAUAGCAGGCAUGACCCUGUCAUGAAAUAUGGCAACAUGUAUUCAGGCUUAUCUGUCCACUAGCAGUGUAACAUAACCAAAAAAACAACUUACAAAGCUGAAUGGCACACUGUCAAACCAGAGUUAUCAGGCAGGAUAGUUAUGACCUUGUGGUGACAAGCCUAACUGCCUUACCUACGCCAAAUUUCACUUGAAGUCAAUUGUGAGCAUGUUGCAGUACUCAUGUUGCAAGUGACGCCAAGCUUAAGGUUGAUGAACCUGCAAACAGCAUCAGGGUGUGCAAUAGAAUAAGGUCAAAACUGUCCCAACAUCAAUUGGUUAUACAAGGUCAGUAUGGAUAACCAUCUGCCAGAUCAAUACCAUUUGAGGCACUAUAGUAAACCCUACCAGUAAGGGAACCAACCAAACAUGACAUUACCUGCAGCAACUCAUCAUAGUCUUGCAUCCUGCAGUUAGGAAAUCAACUGCAAUCUUGAGGCUAAGCUCUACCAAACCAGCAGGUGAAAGGAGUGGUCAAGUGUUUUUGCAGUUGGGCUAGACACCAAUAGUAUCUGUAGCAUUCAGCAGGAACCAAUCCUGCACAAAAAUCAAAACCUUGCCAGCCUUGCAUCAAGUCAACCUGUUUCAAACCUGUUUCAAGUUCAAGUCAGAUGGGCAUAAUCCUUGUAGUGGCUACAUUUCAUUUGGUCAAAUGCUGCAAGAGGACAUCAGCACCAACUACACACCAUGAGAUGCACAUCAAUAGGGCUUCAGAGUGUGCCAGGCAUCAUAUGUCAGCAGCACUGUUCUAAGAUCUCCAUUGUCAUGUCAAUCAUGGUUGUACAACAGCAAUGUCACGCUAUGUGUUAUGCUGCACCAAGAUGAAUCAAGAUGGAGAAUGGUUGCCUUCCUGCAAAGACAAGACAGAAAUUUACAGUCAUGAGGAACAAACCAAUGAAGUAUGGCAAUGGACCCAACUAACCCUGCAUAUCAGACACAAUUCAGCUCAGGUUGAGAUGCAACCUUCAUGGCCAAUCCAAUGCCUCAAUCCAAACACAAUGACCAUGGUGAACCAUUCUCCUAUUGAGUUGAAAUGGUCACGACAGUGCAUACCUUGGAGCCAAGCAAUGUCCAAACUUGCAUCACACCUUACCAUGGCUAAGCUUUAAGUUGGGACAUAGGAAAAACAGAUGAGGGCAAGGAGGAGCUGAACCUAUGAAACCUUGAUCCAUACUGCAAAAAGCAUUAGCCAAAAUCUGCAUUAACAAGACAUGAACACUUCAAAGGAGCAACAUAACAGGGCAUGUAAACAAGGUAACCUACCAAUCCAAUGAGCACAAGGGAUAGCCAUUGAAUUCCCUAAUCCAGCACCUCACAAGCCAUUGGAUCCAGUAGAUAUUAAGGUCUGUAGUGAAGAGAGCAUGAAUGAUUAGUGAAGUUAUGAGAUUGGUCAAAAGAAAAGAUUGUACAAGGAAAGAUUGCAAUGCUUUGAAUUAACAUGACCAGUUCAAUAGGUUGUAGUUAAUUCAUUCAUUUGGUUUAAUCCUAGGAUUACCUGCUACAGCCAUCAACAUUCUACUUCAUCAUUUCACUGAAACAACCUGACUUAACUCCAUUACACUAAUCAUCAAAACCUGCUCAGCAGGUCAUCCUUCAUUUUAAGAGCAAUUCCACUUAAACCAACCUGUGAUAACCAGUAAACAAAUUCAAAUCAUUAACAGUACAUUAGCCAACUUAAGUUGAGAUAACUAACUGAGUUUUGAUCCAAUAACCAACUGAGUUAUCUGUUAACUCAGUGAGUCCAAUUCAACUAACUCCAAACCUAAUUAACUAACUCCCAUCCUAAUCCCAAUCCAGAAAUAAUCCCAAGCUUAAAUCCUAUAUAAACACUUCAUCAUUCUCAUUUUUGCACAGUUUUUUUGAACCCUGCAAAUCCAGAGCCAUUUCUCUGCAAACUCUCUCACCCUCACCAAAGCUCUCAUUCUCUCUCACAAGAAAGGUCAUUCUCUCUCACAAGAAAGGUCAUUGAAGCUUCACAUUGAAGCUUCAAUUCACCUAGAGCUAAGCCACUGCACUCUGUUUUCAAGAUUUAGAAGACGAAGGAGACAAAGAAAAGAAAAGAAGAAGAAGGCAGAAUUGAAAGCAAGAAACUCACCGGCAAACAUCUCCGAUCAUCUUCUCCGGUAUGUCGUUUACCGUUUGUUAUCGCUUUCUUGUUCUGAGCACACCGUUACAUAGCAUUUAGGUGAAGGAUCAAAAACCCCAUGGCAUUAGGUGUUAAUUUUCAGUGAUGAGUGUUUAAUUGAACGUUGAUUAGGCUAGGGUUCAUCGGUUAUUGAGAGCAAUUCCCUGGAUUCUUUAACCAUUAGUUGAUUCCAUUGCCAUGAGCGUGGCCAUUAGUUUCUUAAAUAGAUUGCAAGAUCAUAAAAAUAUUUUAUUCAACAUUGGAAAAAUUAGUUUCUUAAAUGCAUGGAUGUAACAACAACACACAUCUUGAAAGAAUUCAUAACUAAUUAAGAAACCUUAAAAAAAAAAAUGUAUAUUUUGUAAUCCAUAUUAGAAAAUGAUGUUUAUGAGCAUGGAGCAGGCAAAAGAUGAGUUAGCAAACAAAUGCUUUUAUAUUGGUGGGUAGUCUAACGGAAGGUUUAGAUCACUUAAUAUUUAAAUAAAAAAUAAGAUAAAAAUAAUGGUAUCAUUAUAAAAAGAAAUAAAAACAUAAACUGC
rnacentral:lncRNA from 1 species